CUGUCAUGGGGGAAGGGGUUGUCCCUUCAGUCUCCUCUUCAGGAGGUGAAAUGCAUGCUCUGUUGGAUUGAGGUCUGGAGAUUGACUUGGCCAAUCCAAGACCUUCCAUUUUCCCUCCUGAUGAAGUGCUUUGUUUGGUUGGCAGUGUAUUUUGGGUCAUCGUCC